rnacentral:tRNA from 1 species
GCCCGGGUGGCGGAAUUGGUAGACGCGCUGGAUUCAAAAUCCAGUGGUAGCAAUACCGUGCGGGUUCGAUUCCCGCCCCGGGUA